rnacentral:tRNA from 1 species
GGUAGAGUACUCGGCUUUUAAGUGCGACUCGAUUUUUUCGAGUCCCGGGCAACCCACUCGAAUUAUCAUCUC